GACGAACGCUGGCGGCGUGCUUAACACAUGCAAGUCGAACGAUGAAGAAGAGAAACGCGAACUUCGGUUCAAAUUUCACUUCGGAUUAGUGGCAGACGGGCGAGUAACGCGUGUGCAACCUACCUCUUACAAAGGGAUAGCCUCGGGAAACCGUUAUUAAUACCAUAUGACACAUUCAUAAGGCAUCUUAAGAAUGUUAAAGCUACGGCGGUAAGAGAUGGGCUCGCGUCCCAUUAGCUAGUUGGUGAGGUAACGGCCCACCAAGGCGACGAUGGGUAACCGGCCUGAGAGGGUGAACGGUCACAUUGGAACUGAGACACGGUCCAAACUCCUACGGGAGGCAGCAGUGGGGAAUAUUGCACAAUGGAGGGAACUCUGAUGCAGCGACGCCGCGUGAGCGAUGAAGGAAUUCGUUUCGUAAAGCUCUGUUAUAUGGGAAGAAAAGGACUGUACCAUAGGAGAAAGCCCCGGCUAAAUACGUG
rnacentral:rRNA from 1 species